CACAAAACCCUACGAAUCCCCAGGAAUAAAAAGAGAGAGAGAAAAAGUUGAGGGAAAAAGAAAAAAAAAAAUUUUAACUUAUCAGCUGCUUUCUGCCUUCCGGAAGACGACUAACUUGUGCAUUCUUUUCUUCCCCGCUGCUUUCU
rnacentral:ribozyme from 1 species